rnacentral:rRNA from 1 species
AACGAACGCUGGCGGCAUGCCUAACACAUGCAAGUCGAACGAGACCUUCGGGUCUAGUGGCGCACGGGUGCGUAACGCGUGGGAACCUGCCCUUAGGUUCGGAAUAACUCCCCGAAAGGGGUGCUAAUACCGGAUAAUGUCUUCGGACCAAAGAUUUAUCGCCUUUGGAUGGGCCCGCGUUUGAUUAGCUAGUUGGUAGGGUAAAAGCCUACCAAGGCGACGAUCCAUAGCUGGUCUGAGAGGAUGAUCAGCAACACUGGGACUGAGACACGGCCCAGACUCCUACGGGAGGCAGCAGUGGGGAAUAUAGGACAAUGGGCGAAAGCCUGAUCCAGCAAUGCCGCGUGAGUGAUGAAGGCCUUAGGGUUGUAAAGCUCUUUUACCCGGGAUGAUAAUGACAGUACCGGGAGAAUAAGCUCCGGCUAACUCCGUG